UAGAACCUCAUCUGAUAUAUUAUGGUAACAAGAUGGCUCUAUGAGCUGGCCAUACUCAGUAGUCAGAGUGAAACCGGCCAUGUAAAAACGACAAAGCAUAGGAUUCAGUGUAGGAGCUUGGGCCCCGUGGUAUCAGUUGACUUACAGACUGAGUUCAACCACAUGGGCAACAUAUUAAUCAAUCAUACCUAUGCAAUAAAGUCUUCAUAAAAACUAUGGACAACAAAGUUCUGGUGAGCAUCAUGGGUUGGCAACACUCCAGACUUUGCAAAAAAGAAAGAAGAAAGUAAAUAAAUGAAAAUAGAAAGGAAGCUAGAGAAAGAGAGAAAGAAAGAAAGAAAGAGAGAGAAAGAGAGAAUGAAUGAGAGAAAGAAAGAAAGAGGAAGAGAAAGAGAGAGGAAGAAAGAAUAAAUGAGAGAGAAAAAAAGAAGAAAGAAAGAAAAAAGAAAGGAAGAGAGGAAGAAAAGAGAGAGAAAGAAUUUUUUUUCAUUUUACUUUCCCUGAAUCCUUCCCCAGGUAGUAGCUAUUUAUGGUAACUACCUAAACAUUACCAAAGUUUAUUUUUAUAUUUCUCUUUUGGUAUGAUUUUCCUACUGUGACUUAUACUACUAUGUGCUUUCAUAGUGUUUCUCACUUGACUGGAAGAGCGGUAGGAUGUAUCUGGACUCCACAAUGCUUUUAUAUUGCAGGAAUUCAAUAAAUGAUACAAAUGACUGGACACAGGCCAGAAUGUUUGGAUUCUGUUUAAAGUGAUGAAUAAAAUUUAUCUUUUGAUAA
rnacentral:lncRNA from 1 species